UCGAGAAUAAUUCGCAAUGGACGAAAGUCUGACGAUGCGACGCCGCAUGAACGAUGAAGGCCUUCGGGUUGUAACGUUCUGUUGCCUUGGAACAAGAGUAAGUGAUGAAUAAGCACUUACAAUGAGGGUACAAGGAGAGGAAGCACCAGCUAAUUCCGUGCCAGCAGCUGCGGUAAUACGGAAGGUGCAAGCGUUAGUCGGAAUUACUGGGCGUAAAGGGUGCGUAGGCGGUGAUAUAAGUCGGACGUGAAAUUCCGGGGCUUAACCUCGGAGCUGCGUUUGAUACUGUAUUGCUAGAGGAAUGGCGGAGAAAAUGGAAUUCCAUAUGUAGCGGUGAAAUGCGUAGAUAUAUGGAAGAACACCUGUGGCGAAAGCGGUUUUCUAGCCUACUCCUGACGCUGAGGCACGAAAGCAAGGGGAGCAAACA
rnacentral:rRNA from 1 species